GACGAACGCUGGCGGCGUGCCUAAUACAUGCAAGUUGAGCGCUGAAGGUUGGUACUUGUACCAACUGGAUGAGCAGCGAACGGGUGAGUAACGCGUGGGGAAUCUGCCUUUGAGCGGGGGACAACAUUUGGAAACGAAUGCUAAUACCGCAUAAAAACUUUAAACACAAGUUUUAAGUUUGAAAGAUGCAAUUGCAUCACUCAAAGAUGAUCCCGCGUUGUAUUAGCUAGUUGGUGAGGUAAAGGCUCACCAAGGCGAUGAUACAUAGCCGACCUGAGAGGGUGAUCGGCCACAAUGGGAAUGAGACACGGCCCAAACUCCUACGGGAGGCAGCAGGAGGGAAUCUUCGGCAAUGGACGAAAGUCUGAACGAGCAACGCCGCGGGAGGGAAGAAGGUUUUCGGAUCGUAAAACUCUGUUGGUAGAGAAGAACGUUGGUGAGAGUGGAAAGCUCAUCAAGUGACGGUAACUACCCAGAAAGGGACGGCUAACUACGUG
rnacentral:rRNA from 1 species